UCACUUCGGUUCCUCUCUCAGACUCUUCCAGUUUAGGCUCUUUUCCUCUAUCACGCAGGCACAUUGCACCAGAUCAGACACCAAUCAAGGCCACCAAACCUUGCCAUAUGGAUGUCGUCGUCACCAGCGUUAUCAACUACAUCAUCUGGUGAUGGGUUCAUCAACACCGUCCACUAUCGGUUAUGGAUUCAGACCAUUCUCGGCCGACGCUUUAGUCGAGUAUAGGCCCGAUAAGAUCAGAAGAGUCUACGGCUUCCCCAAUGAACAUCUUCGCACAAAGGAACAGGAGAUCGCCAAGGAGUGGAAGGUCGUCAGUUCUCUCAGUUUUCUCUUCGUCUCUGGUUUCCGCUGCCGCUCUGGUCAUCUAGGCCUUCAAGGAGCCGGAUCCCGACUUCAAGAAGGUCAAGAACAUCGAGCACAACGACCUGAGCAGGACCAAUGCUCUGACUGCACCCUUCUUCUUCUUCAUACUCCGCAGAUCCAGAGCUUCUUUCUCUUUCGAUCUCUCUUUGUAUCUGUAUAUAUCUAUAGAUUUCUCUCUCUCUGAUUCUUGUUGAUAUUGACAGUUUUGUAUUUCGUGAAAACCUAGAUGAAGGUGAGACCUCAAGAACAUCCUUGGCGCUGAGAAGAUGGAGCUGCUGGGAUUGUUAAUGAUGGGAGAAAGAAGUUCAUGGACAUGAAGGUGGAGAAUCUAGUGAGGCCCAAAUCGAUUCUCAGCCGAUUGUUGCAAAUCAAAUAAACAAUAAGGCUGAAACUAAGCCUUAAGAUAGUGUCCAGGGAAGUGAAGUAGAUGAACCUCAACUGUAGGCGUGGUUUGGAAAAAAUCAAUUGGAUCCUAGCUGUGGAAAAGUUGUGGUAUCACAAUUGCAUAUGGCUUGGCCGAUUCUCUUAGCAAGGUUUGAUGGAAGACUUGUUGAUGGUCGCAAAAUAACUGCUCAGUUUGCAAAAUUUUAGUGAAUCUAAACAAAAAUAUAGAUUAAAGAGAUAAUGAACUUGAUAUGUGGCUCCAAUGGCCUUUCUUAACUUGGAUUUUAUUUUUUUGGCUCCAAUGGCCUUGAUUUCUA